rnacentral:rRNA from 1 species
UACGAAGGGUGCAAGCGUUACUCGGAAUUACUGGGCGUAAAGCGUGCGCAGGCGGUUCGUUAAGUCAGCUGUGAAAGCCCCGGGCUCAACCUGGGAACUGCGGUUGAAACUGGCGAACUAGAAUCUGGCAGAGGGGGGUGGAAUUCCACGUGUAGCAGUGAAAUGCGUAGAGAUGUGGAGGAACACCGAUGGCGAAGGCGGGUCUCUGGGCCGUAACUGACGCUGAGGAGCGAAAGCAUGGGGAGCGAACAGG